rnacentral:rRNA from 1 species
UACGGGGGGGGCAAGCGUUGUUCGGAAUUACUGGGCGUAAAGGGCUCGUAGGCGGCCAACUAAGUCAUACGUGAAAUCCCUCGGCUUAACCGGGGAACUGCGUCUGAUACUGGAUGGCUUGAGUUCGGGAGAGGGAUGCGGAAUUCCAGGUGUAGCGGUGAAAUGCGUAGAUAUCUGGAGGAACACCGGUGGCGAAGGCGGCAUCCUGGACCGAUACUGACGCUGAGGAGCGAAAGCUAGGGGAGCAAACGGG